CCCAGAAUCCCUUUGACCUCCCAAAAGUGGUUUAGCCUGCCCCCCUUUUCCAGAGAGUUCUGUCUUUAUACAAGUCUUUCCCUUUGAUCUCUUCCCUCCAGUUACACUACAACACUCUGUAAAAACUGACCAGUUAGGAUUGGUUUCUAUUUAAAUUGGACAGUAUGGCUUCUUUUAGAGACAUGGUGGCUUGGGAAAACACAUACUUCAAUGGUUACACCUAGAUGUUAAUUACUCUGGUCUUUUGAUAACAUGCAUGGAAAAAUGGUUGACAGGAGAACUGUUGGAGGGCUGUAAGCUUUUGUUUCAGCGGGUGCUGUAAAAUGCAACUGAAAGCUUUG